CGCUACCAUGCAGUCGAGCGGUACACAGGGAGCUUGCUCCUGGGUGACGAGCGGCGGACGGGUGAGUAAUGUCUGGGAAACUGCCUGAUGGAGGGGGAUAACUACUGGAAACGGUAGCUAAUACCGCAUAACGUCGCAAGACCAAAGAGGGGGACCUUCGGGCCUCUUGCCAUCAGAUGUGCCCAGAUGGGAUUAGCUAGUAGGUG
rnacentral:rRNA from 1 species